rnacentral:rRNA from 1 species
GAUGAACGCUGGCGGCGUGCCUAAUACAUGCAAGUCGAGCGAACGGACGAGAAGCUUGCUUCUCUGAUGUUAGCGGCGGACGGGUGAGUAACACGUGGAUAACCUACCUAUAAGACUGGGAUAACUUCGGGAAACCGGAGCUAAUAUCGGAUAAUAUUUUGAACCGCAUGGUUCAAAAGUGAAAGACGGUCUUGCUGUCACUUAUAGAUGGAUCCGCGCUGCAUUAGCUAGUUGGUAAGGUAACGGCUUACCAAGGCAACGAUGCAUAGCCGACCUGAGAGGGUGAUCGGCCACACUGGAACUGAGACACGGUCCAGACUCCUACGGGAGGCAGCAGUAGGGAAUCUUCCGCAAUGGGCGAAAGCCUGACGGGGCAACGCCGCGUGAGUGAUGAAGGUCUUCGGAUCGUAAAACUCUGUUAUUAGGGAAGAACAUAUGUGUAAGUAACUGUGCACAUCUUGACGGUACCUAAUCAGAAAGCCACGACUAACUACGUG